rnacentral:rRNA from 2 species
UACGGAGGGGGCUAGCGUUGUUCGGAAUUACUGGGCGUAAAGCGCACGUAGGCGGAUCAGUCAGUUAGGGGUGAAAUCCCAGGGCUCAACCCUGGAACUGCCUUUAAUACUGCUGGUCUGGAGGUCGAGAGAGGCGAGUGGAAUUCCGAGUGUAGAGGUGAAAUUCGUAGAUAUUCGGAGGAACACCAGUGGCGAAGGCGGCUCGCUGGCUCGAUACUGACGCUGAGGUGCGAAAGCGUGGGGAGCAAACAGG